rnacentral:lncRNA from 1 species
ACGUUUCGUCCUCUAGAGCCUCUCUUGUCGCCGUCGCCGUGCUUAUCUGCUUGCUCCCAGGUCAAUUAGUCGGUCCUUGUUUAAUCAUCCGGUGACACAGCGAUACAGGCAGCCAGGGUAUACGUACGUAUACCUAGCUAGAUGCUCCUUGUGCUUCUUGGCCUCUACGUAUACUAGAGCCCUGAAACAAAAGGUAUAGGGAUGGGUGGUGUAUUGCAUUGCACCACAUCACGGG